rnacentral:miRNA from 1 species
GCUUGCGUGCAAGCAGGAGGGGGGCAGGGAUCUCUCAGUUAGGCAAUGGGAAGCCUCCCUUCCCAGCUGAGGGAUCCCUGCCCCCUCCUGCUUGCACGCAAGU